AUUCGCGGUGUCAGUGGAUAAGCGACCAGGAAAUGAGUGAUCCGCUGCCGAUAAGCUGUUAAUGAGUUGAUCAUAAUUCCAGAUGUCGAUGCUUGCAUGGUGUAUUGGUUCGAGUUUCUGGAUACUGUUGUGUGCCAUCUGAUUUUACUGAGGGGUGGGAGGGUGGAGGAUUUGGGGUCGUAUCUCCCUCUGAAGUAACUGCCUUAGAGUCGAGAACAAGACAGGAACGGCGAGGAAAAACCUGGCAUGAUGUCCUACAAGAAUGGGCGCAUAAAGUUGCCAGAAGUGCCACCACAUUUAGUGUUUAUGCAGCUAUUAAUUGCUGUUGGGUAUGGUUUGAUUAACACAGGGAUCGCCCGUUUUGCUAUCAAGUGGUGUUUUCUAUUUCUGCACCCCAGCGGCGCCAAUUACUGGCCACGUCUUUAUUUGAUAGAGGUGCUGGUUAAGGGAAGUGUAAGAACGGGUGUCCGAUUUGGGCUUUAUAAAACCUGGCGAGGGAGUCAUUGUACAAUGAUAGAGGCUCAGACGGCAGUCUAAUUCAGUCUGACCGCAGGGUCGUGGGUCUGGCAACCUGAGCGCUGCGGGAAACGUGGGAAAUUAUCAUGAAAUGUAGUCAGACAGUAAACAGGGGGCACAACAAUCAGCCAGGGAGGGCCGUAUCAGGAAACACCGAGGCACAGAUUCCCUCCUUCACAUCGCAUCUUCCGUCUGCUCGGGAGAGUCUUAUUCAAUGCUAUUUUAGGGGAUUAGCGGAUUGAAACUUUGGAAACUGUUAGGUCAGAGCUGCAAACUGAAACUAGCUUUAAUGAAGGGAAGCGCCAAUGGUAAAGUGAGCCGGGUGUUACAUAACGGCGGGCUCGGGAAGGUGAGCGUAUGGAGCGAAUGUUUUGAGCUGUUAGGUUUAAACAUGCUCGCUCCGCAGUCUGCUCCAGUCUGACCCCGCCCCGCGGCGUGCGGGGUAACGUGAGGUCUCGCCGGCUGCUGGCGAGAGGCGCAGAGGCAGCUGUCGGCGAAUCUGACCAUGAGGAUGCAAACGUGACAGUGGAGACAGAACGCAGCCCCAACAGAGGACAGCCCCCGCACCACAUCAAUAACAGGCGGGGAUUUCAGAACCUCUUCUCUCCCGAGUAAACACGCACAAAAGAAAAAUCCCACGGGGGAACGAAAAGGAAGAUGACUUUUAACUAUUUAAAUACCACACUUCGGCCGUAGCCCCCUGUAUGAAUGUGCAACAACGCCUUUCCCUUGCUCGCCCUUUCUGAUGUCAUGCAUGUCGUGUUUACAAGGCUCAUUUUCACCCCGAGUUUCCAUUUUCACAAGCUCUCUGCCCCUGCCACCGCUAUGCGCAGUAUAUUUUCAGGGGAAUUAAUGAAAGGGGGGAAAAGUCCAUCUUUAGAAACUCUCGAAAGACUCGUUUCUGCUGUACUGGGGUUCUCCCGGGGGGAAUUAAUGGGGGGCAUGGAUAUUUUGCAUGGAAGAUUGUAGUUAAUGCUGUGGUUUGAGAGGUAGGCGAAACGGGGGCAAAACGCUAAAAAGCAGAGCCAGUUUUUCCUCAACGUUUUACUGUAUUUCGGUGCAUGAGGGAAUAAUAGAGCAGAACCAAUAUAUUUCACCUGUUUCCGUAAUGAAUAAAUAAUAAACCGACACAUUUAACAUUUCGUCUAUAUAUUUCGUAAGUAAUACACUGGCACAUUUCGUCCCCUUCCCUAUUUCAGAUUUCCGGGGAGAAGUGGGGAAAGGGCAAUCAAUCGAGAGAAGGAAAAUCGGGGUAAAUUCAAAAUUCGGGUGGAGGUGCGAAUUUCCUCAACGCCCACAAAGGCUAUAUAAGGACCAGUUGCUGCAAGCUUCCGGCCGCUGCAAUUUCGCGCAGCAGUUACCAUUAAUUUUAAUCACGAUCCCUGCUCUGGACUGGAUCCGGCUACAGCAGAGUGCGUCCGAGGUUGCCAACUCUGAUUGGUCAUAUUCUUGGAAAUUAUGUCACGUGACUUGCUGUUUCCAAUUGCUUCGAUACAGACAACCGGCUCUUCUCCACUCUGUUUAUCGUGAAUAAACUGGAGUGAAUUAUUUUAAAUGUCUCCCCGAUUUAUACUUAUGGAACAGUGUUUACGAAAUUAUUCUAAAUUCCAUGAGAACACUGGAGUUGUACACCCGCUCAUGUGUUUUUAGCAGGAGCGCUCGGUCUGCAGGUCUGGGGAAAGUUCAGGGAUCAGAAUUAGUCUGCAGACUGACUGUGAAAGGCGGCGUAAUUUAUCUCUUUCUCCCUGACCUUUUCUAAAGACCAGCAAAUCUCUCCGAUGAACCAUCUGUCCAAUGCCCUGUUAACCGUUCCUAUCACGUAUCAGCAGCGCCUCAAAAGCAGUGUAUUUCAGAUCCUAUUACUAGAUAAAAAUAAUCCUAAUUUCUCCGCCCAAAUGCAUGAAUUGGGAUGUUCCAAUUGCCGCGUCCUGGGUGCAUGUCGGUGGGAACGGGUGCAAUAUAAACAGCAGAGCCGCUACCUCAGACCUGUGUUAAUUCCUGACCCCAGGCAAUGUCUGUGCUUUGGCUUCUCCCGCAUCGAUGUGCCGCCGCUUUCAAUUAGCCCACAUCUUCAGCAGUUUGAACCGGGCAUGACUGCGCAAGCGCGUGAAGGUUGGCCUGUGAAACAGCGGGAGAGUUUAAAAAGCGAGCAAAUUAACGGAGCAGGCAUCGUAGGAGCGGGCAAUGGAGUAGUGGGGGACAGAGUAGGAAGGCUUUGGCUCGAGAGGCUUUGGUGAGCAAAGGCUGAGGACGAGCUUGCUCCCAGUGAGGUAAGGCCGGAUAUACGGUGUGGAACAGGCUCUUCUGACCCGGCGAGCUGCACUGCUCAUCAAUCCCCGAUGUAACCUAAUCACAGGAUAAUUUACAAUGACUUAUUACUUGGUACUUCUUUGCACUAUGGGAGGAAACCAGAGAGCACACGUGCACAUGCUACCUUUCAGAACCUUGGGGUGUAGUCCAUCCGGUCCAGGUGGGGAGAGAAGCCACCUGGAAAUACCCAGUUUCGACGCAUAAGUUACUUGCAACCCUGCAGCAGCUAGUAACUCCAUCCACCCUGCUCACCCAUAGACGUAGAGCGACCUUAAGCCAGGUGUUCAUAACCUGGGAGAACCUGUAUGUUCUUACAUAGGGAGUAUACAAAUUAACUGCUCAGAAAAUACACUCAGUGGCCACUUAAUAAGGUACCUCUUAGGUAAUGAACUGGCCACAGUGCAUGUGACAAGGACUGUAUUUUUACCUUGCUAACCACUCCUUAUUUGCACAUUAAUUCAUUAUGUCCCUUGAACAAAAACUCACAAGGAUGAAGGGAGCCGAUUUCAAGACUGAUUUCAGAUGAGACCGAUCUAAGUUUGGCUUUGCAGAAGAUCAUAUGGCCAAAUGCUCAAGUUUCAAAUUGUUCACUGCUUCUGUAAGUUGCGUGUAUAGCUGCCAGCUAUCCCCACCUCCUCUUGUUUGUUCAUAAAUAAAUGCUCUGCUGAAGAAAGCAAAGAGAGUGUGGUUAAAUACCACAAGGGGAGUAGUACUGGCUUGUACUGUACGUGAUGUCCGCACUGUUGUUCUGUCAUGAAGUUUUGCCAAUGUUGAUGUGAACGUCACCUGCAAAGAAAUAAGGACAUUACCAAAUUCAAGAUUCUGUGAGGGAUUGGCUCUAAUUGCUGUUUGAAGUUGGUCCUCCAGUCAGCCUCUGAUUCCUUUGAAGCCCGUCACAAGUGUAUUACCAGGAAAUCUCUGCUUGAAUUCAGUGCCUCAAGUACUUUUACCUUCACUUCUGCCAAGGAGGCUUGGUAAUAAAUUCAUUGUAUCGGUACAACUGCACCUAGAUUGGUUCCAAAACUCCCCUGUCUUGGGAUGACAUUUCUCAAUCACCUUCACUCAAUCAACAAACACAUCUUGGGCAAACAGGCUUUGAAAUGGGCUUCAGAUUUCAGCCAGGCUCCAGUGUGCCCAAGCUAUCUGACCUCCACAUUAUAAAAAAAAAUGAGUUUUUCUUCCCUGUCUGUCCUUGGUCACCCUGGCCUGCCUUACUCAUUUGAACAGGUGUUCAGAUAGCACAAUUGAGAGGUUUUAUCAUUAACCAAGCCCACAGUUCAAUUCCAAAUAUCUGAAUUCUGGGCCCAGAGUAUGCACCUGACUUGGGUGGAACACAGCAACUUUUGACAAAACAUAAGCAGUCACUUGAGACCUAGGAUACUGUGGCAGAGUAUGACACAUGAUAAUUUGUGAAAGUAGGCCAAGGUACGAUACCUUUUUUUUCCAAUUUGCUUCUUCUAGAUAAAGGAAAUGUUGCUCUUCUCUAUUAAGGUCAGAAUCUUUCACAAUGACACAGCAUCUGCCUAAAUGUCAAAUUUGUUAUCUGUUUGCUCAAGAUGAAGAGAAGCCUUCACGUCAUGAAUUAAGAUGGCAAUAAACACCUUGCAUUCAUUAACAACUGCACACAAAGGCAAAUCCAACUGCGGCUUCAACACACUGCUCCUAUCUCUUCAGCAUGAAGGGGAAAUAGUGAUAGUGGGAAAGACAGAGCGAGGGAGAAAGCAAAGAAAGAAAUACACAUGGAAGAGAAAAAAUGCUGCAAAGAAACAUGAGAGAUUCACAAAUAAGCAAUUACGGGAAGAGAAAUGUCGAAGCGUUGUUCAAUGUGAUAAAAUUUAAAUGCAGUUGUACCACUCUGAGUAAUUUCCACACACUUGGCGUAUUUUGGCAUGAAACAUAGUAACGAGAGCCAGUACAAUUCUAGUAUGCAAAAACAGGCUUGAGACCUUCCUACAGGCACACUUGGACCAAAUCAAUUGAACUGAAAAGGUUCAAGAGAAUGAUUGUAAUGGUUUGUAAUACUCCAAGACCAAGUGAACUUGACAGUGCAAUUGUAAACUUGCCAUUGAUCUGCAAGUGGCUCAAAUCUUUCAGGGUAUGCACUUUAAUCAAACUAAUCUCCAAGCUUUAAAACCAUCUCUCCUUGUUAAAUCCAAUCAAAAACCACACCGAAAUCCAAGCAGGAAGUUGCUUAUAAUCAAUAAUCUGAAUUUUCUUCACUGUAAGAAGUAAUUUCAUUAUGCUGCUCUGAAUUUUGUCAGAACUCAACCAUUGCAUUCACCCCACAGUCAUCAAUUAAUCCCAGCCAAAUCAGCCAGGUAUCCUUGCUACUUGACUAAUGGUAAGACUCAAACAACUGUUAGUUAUGAGCCAUGUUUGAUGCAACAUCAGGUGAGGGUGCACGUAG